AUACAGAGGGUGCGAGCGUUAAUCGGAAUUACUGGUCGUAAAGCGUGCGUAGGUGGUCUGUUAAGUCAGGUGUGAAAGCCCUGGGCUCAACCUAGGAAUUGCAUUUGAUACUGGCAGACUAGAGUGUGGUAGAGGGUAGUGGAAUUCCCGGUGUAGCGGUGAAAUGCGUAGAUAUCGGGAGGAACAUCAGUGGCGAAGGCGGCUACCUGGACCAACACUGACACUGAGGUACGAAAGCGUGGGGAGCAAACAGGAUUAGAAACCCCGGUAGUCC
rnacentral:rRNA from 1 species